rnacentral:lncRNA from 1 species
AUUGUAGGUGGAAGAUUGAUGGUCAAGAGUCGGAUUAUUGUGUCUGUCGGGUUAUUGAAGUCGAAGGUUUACCUGAGGAGAGGAUGAGCAGCGGCCGGAGAGGAGCGGCGGUGGGCUAGAGGGGCCGAGAUGGAGCGGCGGUCGGCGUUGCCUUGCGUCCGGAUCGCUGAGAACCUGCUCAAGUCCGAGACCGUCAAGAGGGAUUUCGGGUAGGGGAAGGGCCGAGACCGGAGGUGGACGGCCGGAAGCGGCUCAAUCAACGGGUGGGGGUGGGGGUGGGGAUGAGCGGCGCGGAGAGGCUGGUAGGGAUGAGCGGCGCGGUGGGUAGGGAUAGAUACUAAGAUCUGAAAUUGAAU